GAUGAACGCUGGCGGCGUGCCUAAUACAUGCAAGUCGAGUGAAGCGGGGACGGGUGAGUAACACGUGGAUAACCUCCUAUACGACUGGGAUAACUUCGGGAAACCAGAGCUAAACCUGAUAGUUAUAGAUGGCUCCGCGCUGCAUUAGCUAGUUGGUAAGGUAAUGGUUAACCAAGGCAACGAUGCAUAGCCGACCCGAGAGGGGGAUCGGCCACACUGGAACUGGGACACGGUCCAGACGCCUACGGUAGGCAGCAGUAGGGAAUCUUCCGCAAUGGACGAAAACCUGACGGAGCAACGCCGCGUGAGUGAUGAAGGUCUUCGGAUCGUAAAACUCUGUUAUUAGGGAGGCGGUACCUAAUCAGAAAGCCACGGCUAACUACGUGCCAGCAGCCGCGGUAAUAG
rnacentral:rRNA from 1 species